rnacentral:rRNA from 1 species
UACAGAGGGUGCGAGCGUUAAUCGGAAUUACUGGGCGUAAAGCGCGCGUAGGCGGCUCUGCAAGUCGGGUGUGAAAUCCCCAGGCUUAACCUGGGAACUGCAUUCGAGACUGCAUUGCUAGAGUAUGGGAGAGGGAAGUGGAAUUUCCGGUGUAGCGGUGAAGUGCGUAGAUAUUGGAAGGAACAUCAGUGGCGAAAGCGACUUCCUGGACCAAUACUGACGCUCAUGUGCGAAAGCGUGGGGAGCAAACAGG